CGGCGGGCGGCCCCCGACGCGGAGGGCAGGGCGCGGGGAGGCCGGGCUCCCGGCGUUGGCGGAUGGCGGGAGCCCCGGGGCCGCGGGCUCGCGGGGCAGCAGGCGAGAGACGAGACGCCGAGAUGGGGAAACAGGCCUAGAGGAAUGGACAUAUCUACUGAAGGUCAAGUCCCUAAUUAGUUGAAGAGAGGGGCUGGUUUUGUUCUGAGUGUCCCCAGGAAGAGUGGUUUCAGGCGCCAACCAUGGCCAGUGAGAAGCCACCCGGAAAAACAGUGGUCCCCCGGUUACCUCUCAGCAGGCCUGGGACAUCCCCG